GGAUGUGAGGGCGAUCUGGCUGUGACAUCUGUCACCCCAUUGAUCGCCAGGGUUGAUUCGGCUGAUCUGGCCGGCUAGGCGGGUGUCCCCUUCCUCCCUCACCGCUCCAUGUGCGUCCCUCCCAAAGCUGCACGCUCGGUCGAAGAGGACGACCAUCCCCGAUAGAGGAGGACCGGUCUUCGGUCAAGGGUAUACGAGUAGCUGUGCUCCCCUGCUAGAACCUCCAAACAAGCUCUCAAAAAGCUUGGCUCUAAGCCUGAGAGCAAAGGGCUGGGUCUUUCUGUGCCUCCACUUGCCAUGGGAGAAAGACAUGUAUGGUUAGAU
ensembl:misc_RNA 7SK 7SK RNA